CUGGUGUGGGUACCUGCUCUCUAAGGGAGAGGCCACUGCUCUCACUGGCUCUCAGCUGUGAUGUCCGGUCACUCCUCCUUCCGCCUGGAGCAGCCCCACCCAGGGUGCAAGCCCAUCCAGUGGCCCUUAUGAAGUGAUGAUCACUCCGACCAGCAGAUUUCUACCUUGAACCCUAGACAAGUAUGUUCAGCUGCUUACUUGACGUCUUCACUUGGACAUCUAACACCAUCUUUAACACAGCAUGUCCAACCCGGAAGUUCUGAUUGUACCCUAGGAGCUUAUUUCACUGCAGCGCUCUCCAUCCCAGCGGAUACAACUCCAUCCUGAAAGUCACUGUCAAUGUCUUUCUCUCUUGUUCUUGGAAAGCUCUUGUUCUAAGUAUACAAUUGCCUGUUUCCUCGCUGCCUUCAAGUUGUGCUAACACCUCAACUUCUCAAUGAGGCUUAUCUACCUUAUUUCAUCCUGUGGCCUGUCCCUGUCCCCACCUCUCCUCAUCAGUUCUUGCUCUUCUUCACUCCGCUCCUGUUUUUUUUGGUUUUUUUUUCCCCAAUAGCAUUUAUAACUUCCUAACAUACCAUAUAACUUACUUAUUAUAUUUGUUUAUUUUCUGCUCCUCCUCCACUGCCCAACUAAAAUUGUGAGCUCCCUAGGGGAAGGGAUGGUCUCUUAUGCCCCUGGAUGUAACCCAAACACCAACAACAGUGCUCCAGUAA